GAUGAACGCUGGCGGCGUGCCUAAUACAUGCAAGUCGAGCGAACAGACGAGGAGCUUGCUCCUCUGACGUUAGCGGCGGACGGGUGAGUAACACGUGGAUAACCUACCUAUAAGACUGGGAUAACUUCGGGAAACCGGAGCUAAUACCGGAUAAUAUAUUGAACCGCAUGGUUCAAUAGUGAAAGACGGUUUUGCUGUCACUUAUAGAUGGAUCCGCGCCGCAUUAGCUAGUUGGUAAGGUAACGGCUUACCAAGGCAACGAUGCGUAGCCGACCUGAGAGGGUGAUCGGCCACACUGGAACUGAGACACGGUCCAGACUCCUACGGGAGGCAGCAGUAGGGAAUCUUCCGCAAUGGGCGAAAGCCUGACGGAGCAACGCCGCGUGAGUGAUGAAGGUCUUCGGAUCGUAAAACUCUGUUAUUAGGGAAGAACAAAUGUGUAAGUAACUAUGCACGUAGUGACGGUACCUAAUCAGAAAGCCACGGCUAACUACGUG
rnacentral:rRNA from 1 species